rnacentral:rRNA from 1 species
UGCAGAGGGUGCAAGCGUUGUUCGGAAUUAUUGGGCGUAAAGCGCGUGUAGGCGGCUUUGCAAGUCGGGUGUGAAAGCCCUCAGCUUAACUGAGGAAGUGCGCCCGAAACUGCAGAGCUUGAGUACCGGAGAGGGUGGCGGAAUUCCCCAAGUAGAGGUGAAAUUCGUAGAUAUGGGGAGGAACACCGGUGGCGAAGGCGGCCACCUGGACGGAUACUGACGCUGAGACGCGAAAGCGUGGGUAGCAAACAGG